CCCACAUUGGGCUCCUUGCAUAGAGCCUGCUUCUCCCUCUGUCUAUGUCUCUGCCUCUCUCUCUCUCUAGGUCUCUCAUGAGUAAAUAAAUAAAAUCUUAAACAAAACAAAACAAAACAAAAAAACCUUGCUGGGUAAGCAUAGGAUCUUUCACGUAUUCAACAAAUGAUUUCUGGUCACCUAAGAUGCACUAGGCUCUGGACUAGGUGCUGCAGAGUAGUGCUAACCAAAUUGACAUUUCCUUGUUGGGUGUAACAGCAGAAUAUUAAUGACUGUAUGGGACAGUAUCUAGGAGCUUUGGAGGCAGAUGGUCCAAGACCCAAGCUUUUCUACUUACUAUAGAGAUUUGCCGUAUAGGACAAAAGCAGCCAGGGACUACAUGUAAAUGAAUGAGCAUGACUGUAUUCCGAUAACAUUUAAUGGAUCCUGAAAUGUGAGUUUUAUAAUUUUCACUUGUUACAAAAUAUUUUUCUUUCUCUUUCCCCCCACUGUUAAUAAAUGUAAAAAAUCAAUCAGGUAAGUAAGCUGGAUUUGGCCUACACAGGCUAGAGUUUGCUGACUUCUGAUUUAGGCAACAGUCUGGUUGCCACAGUUUGGAAAAUUUCUCAGAUCAUUGAUCCCAUCCAAUAUGUAUUAAUUUUAUAAUGUAAUUAUUAGGUGCAAUUUAUUUCCAAAUUCAUAGGGCCCGUCUCUUGUGGCUGUACCCUUCUCCAUGCCCCUACCACUGUCUAAUAGUCUCAAAUUUCUUGUAGGCCAUGCAUACCUUAUUUUUGAGAGUUCAAUGUCAGAAUGUGGGAGAAGAGUGGUGCACAGUGCCUGAUGAGGUUUACAUAUGCUCUCACCUGAACAAAAGCUGCUUGGAGACGGGGACAGAGUUCUCUGGCGACGGUGCAACUGAGUGCAAUCACCCUAAAGAGGAGCAUUUAGAAGCUAUAAAACCUAAAUGCCCUGCCAUGCAUCAUUACAUCGCACAGUUAUUCAAAUUUAGUAAAUUAAAUUAAAUAAUCUCAAAUAACUUGAUUUCGGGGCUUUAAAAUUUCAUCUCUACGGUGCCCAGUACUCCAUUUCCUUUAUUAUUAUUGUUCAUCCAGUAGAAUUUAUGUUUUUUAUGAAUCGCAGUCCCUGCCCGCCUCGCAGGGGCGAAGCGGCUGCGGUGGCUUGGCGCGCCACCUACCGGCCGAUCCGGGCACAGCGGGCAGCCAGUGGGGCCGCAGCGCACAUGUCACCGCGGAAAUCACAGCCCGGGCGAUGCUCUCAGCUCGUGUGCUAACUGCUCCCCUGGGCUUCGUCGCUGUGGGUCAACUUGAAGUCGCGGGGACAGCGCAGGGAGAUUUGCUGUGCAGGCUGGAGGAGGGUUUUCCGCUCCGGCUGCAAAGCCAGCCAACACCUUUGGUCUGGAGUGUUCUGCGGCUGCCUUCCUGGCUAUUAGAGGCCAGAUGAUCUAAUCAAACUGCUGUUUGCCCGGCAGAUCCGGGAGGCCAUCCCUUCAUUACCAAAAGCCAUUCUCUGCUCAUGCAUGUUACCGAUUGAAGAGGACACUGAUGUUCAGAGACAGGGCGGCUGGUGCCAAAGGCAUGAUGCCCCAGAUAAAGACAAUGCUGCGUUUUGCCAUGUGUUGCAUUUUAAAGAGCAUUUUGUUUGCAGGAAAAUCCCCCCCCCCUCCCGCCCCCCCUCCAAGACUCCUGAAUUCUGGGGAGGCAGGGGCCACGGCCAGGCCGGCCUUGUUUCAGAGGCUGCUUUAAAUGUACUUUCGAUUUAAUAGUUUCAUAAAUAAACCACCGUGAAAUGAUGGCUGUGUGCGUUUU
rnacentral:lncRNA from 1 species